UGUGGGGGCAACUUGUGUGGAAGGCUAAGACACUCUCUCUAAGAGAUGGCUACAUGGGUUGUCAGUUUUCACACUUGUUGAAGGCAGGUGAUCAGUGAAGGGUUAUUACCACCUGUAGGAAUGCGACAGCUCUUCGACCCUUCUGGUCUCUCAGAGCCGACGCCUUUUUCAUCUCUUUGACCAACACUCCUCCAUACAAUGAUUAUAAUCUGUAUUCUUCCUAAGGCGCAUCUUACAGGAAGAUGUUAGAUUAACACCUUCUGGAGGGACUAAAACCCCAAUGAUAUUUAAGCAUACAUUGAAGGUGGUUAUUCUUCAUUUUAGUGAUAAACUUGGUUCACUUUCCCUGUAUACAGCUUUGCAAUAGAUAGUGAAACAAUGUCAACAGUUAUUGAUCACCUACUAUUUGUCAGGUUCUGUAUUAGGAGUUGACAAUGUAGUCUAACAGAUAAAUCAGACAAAAAUGUAAUGGAAUGUAAUAAAUUCUAUGAUGAUGAUAAACACAGGGUGCUCUUGGAACAUACAGGAGGGAACUAACUCAGCCUGGGAAGAAGAGUAGAGCAUCAAGUAAGGCUUGCAAAUACGGAGAAAAUAGGCAAGCACAAAAGGAGAGGAAGGUAACUCUAGGUAGAGGGUACAGCACAGAUAAAGAGCUGGGAAGGGUUUAUAUGGAGAAGUCAUACUUUUAGGGAGGUA
rnacentral:lncRNA from 10 species